CUGAAAACAAAGCUCAUGAAGGCUUAGACGAAGUUCACAGAUCAAAGACCCCAAGGAAGAGGCUGGACUAAUCUUUGAAGAAGGCAAUGCCUGAGAGUGAGAAACAUCUAGAAGUGUAGGGCAGUGAGGCCCCACAGGGAGGUUCCUCUCAGCUCAGUAGUGCCCACCGGAACAAAGACAGCCUUUGUCCUCGAAACCCCAAAAAGGAGUUAAUAUCAGUAAAGGAGGCAGAUUUCUCACAAUGGUCUACCUGGAAGAGCUCUACCCUAUCAACUUCUACAUCUUUGGGAUGGAGAAGCCGAACAUCAGAGAACUUAUUGUCUAUAUUUAUACACUCAGAGAGAGAAAUGGGAUUAAAAAUCUGGAGGGAACAGAAUGAGAGAAAGAUGCAAAUGAAGAAAUAAAAUAAACAGAAGUGCCUGUUUUGUUUUCAA